rnacentral:rRNA from 1 species
GGACGAACGCUGGCGGCGCGCCUAACACAUGCAAGUCGAGGGGCACCAGGAAGAAAGCUUGCUUUCUUUGCUGGCGACCGGCGCACGGGUGAGUAACACGUAUCCAACCUGCCCUUUACUCGGGGAUAGCCUUUCGAAAGAAAGAUUAAUACCCGAUAGCAUAAUGAUUUCGCAUGGUUUCAUUAUUAAAGGAUUCCGGUAAAGGAUGGGGAUGCGUUCCAUUAGGUUGUUGGUGAGGUAACGGCUCACCAAGCCUUCGAUGGAUAGGGGUUCUGAGAGGAAGGUCCCCCACAUUGGAACUGAGACACGGUCCAA